GACGAACGCUGGCGGCGUGCUUAACACAUGCAAGUCGAACGGAAAGGCCCUGCUUUUGUUGGUUGCUCGAGUGGCGAACGGGUGAGUAACACGUGAGUAACCUGCCCUUGACUUUGGGAUAACUUCAGGAAACUGGGGCUAAUACCGGAUAGGAGCUCCUGCUGCAUGGUGGGGGUUGGAAAGUUUCGGCGGUUGUGGAUGGACUCGCGGCUUAUCAGCUUGUUGGUGGGGUAGUGGCUUACCAAGGCUUUGACGGGUAGCCGGCCUGAGAGGGUGACCGGCGACAUUGGGACUGAGAUACGGCCCAGACUCAUACGGGAGGCAGCAGUGGGGAAUAUUGCACAAUGGGCGGAAGCCUGAUGCAGAAACGCCGCGUGCGGGAUGACGGCCUUCGGGGUGUAAACCGAUUUCGAAGGUGACGAAGCGUGAGUGACGGUAAUGGGUAAAGAAGCACCGGCUAACUACGUG
rnacentral:rRNA from 1 species